AUUGAACGCUGGCGGCAUGCCUUACACAUGCAAGUCGAACGGCAGCACGGGAGCAAUCCUGGUGGCGAGUGGCGAACGGGUGAGUAAAGUAUCGGAACGUGCCCAGUCGUGGGGGAUAACGUAGCGAAAGUUACGCUAAUACCGCAUACGAUCUACGGAUGAAAGCGGGGGAUCGCAAGACCUCGCGCGACUGGAGCGGCUGAUAUCAAGUUAGGUAGUUGGUGGGGUAAAGGCUCACCAAGCCGACUGUCUGUAGCUGGUCUGAGAGGACGACCAGCCACACUGGGACUGGGACACGGCCCAGACGCCUACGGGAGGCAGCAGUGGGGAAUUUUGGACAAUGGGCGCAAGCCUGAUCCAGCCAUGCCGCGUGCAAGAUGAAGGCCUUCGGGUUGUAAACUGCUUUUGUACGGAACGAAAAGGUUUGGCCUAAUAAGCUGGACCCAGGACGGUACCGUAAGAAUAAGCACCGGCUAACUACGUGCCAGCAGCCGCCGUAA
rnacentral:rRNA from 1 species